AGAGUUUGAUUCUGGCUCAGGAUGAACGCUGGCGGCGUGCUUAACACAUGCAAGUCGAACGAAGCAGGAAGCGAAGCGCAAGCAGAGGUUCUUGACUGAGUGGCGGACGGGUGAGUAACGCGUGGAUAACCUGCCUUUCACAGGGGGAUAACAGCUGGAAACGGCUGCUAAUACCGCAUGAGCCUCUUUUAUCGCAUGAGGAGAGAGGGAAAGAGAAAUCGGUGAGAGAUGGAUCCGCGUCCGAUUAGCUAGUUGGAGGGGUAACAGCCCACCAAGGCGACGAUCGGUAGCCGACCUGAGAGGGUGGACGGCCACAUUGGGACUGAGACACGGCCCAAACUCCUACGGGAGGCAGCAGUGGGGAAUAUUGCACAAUGGGGGAAACCCUGAUGCAGCAACGCCGCGUGAGUGAGGAAGUAUUUCGGUAUGUAAAGCUCUAUCAGCAGGGAAUAGAAAAGAAGGUACCUGAAAAAGAAGCCCCGGCUAACUACGUGCCAGCAGCCGCGGUAAUACGUAGGGGGCAAGCGUUAUCCGGAUUUACUGGGUGUAAAGGGAGCGU
rnacentral:rRNA from 1 species